UCAUCGGAGGAACGUCGGCGGAUCGCUAGCUGGCAUCGUUUAUGGUCAGAACUAGGGCGGUAUCUGAUCGCCUUCGAACCUCUGACUUUCGUUCUUGAUUAAUGAAAACAUUUUUGGCAAAUGCUUUCGCUUCUGUCCGUCUUGCGACGAUCCAAGAAUUUCACCUCUAACGUCGCAAUACGAAUGCCCCCAUCUGUCCCUAUUAAUCAUUACCUCGGGUUUCCGAAAACCAACAAAAUAGAACCGAGGUCCUGUUCCAUUAUUCCAUGCACACAGUAUUCAGGCGAAAUUUUAGCCUGCUUUGAGCACUCUAAUUUGUUCAAAGUAAACGUGCCGGCCCGCCUYGACACUCAAUUAAGAGCACCGCGACAGGAUUAUUGAGUCGGAUGGUAGAGCGCCUGCAACCCCACCACAUCAUACAGUAACAACCGAAGUUGCACACGCACAAUGNGGAAGCAUACAAGGUCCACGCAUCCACCGGCAGGACGUUCCGCGGACGUGCCAGUUAAACACCGCGGGCGGUGAACCGACAGCGCGGAACACAAAUUCAACUACGAGCUUUUUAACCGCAACAACAUUAAUAUACGCUAUUGGAGCUGGUAUUACCGCGGCUGCUGGCACCAGACUUGCCCUCCAAUGGGUACUCGUUAAAGGAUUUAAAGUGUACUCAUUCCGAUUACGGGGCCUCGGAUGAGUCCC
rnacentral:rRNA from 1 species